rnacentral:rRNA from 1 species
UACGUAGGGCGCGAGCGUUGUCCGGAAUUAUUGGGCGUAAAGGGCGCGUAGGCGGCUUGGCAAGUGGAAGGUGAAAUCCCUCGGCUUAACCGAGGAACUGCCCUCCAAACUGCUUCGCUUGAGACCGGGAGAGGUGAGUGGAAUUCCCAGUGUAGCGGUGAAAUGCGUAGAUAUUGGGAGGAACACCAGUGGCGAAGGCGGCUCACUGGACCGGUACUGACGCUGAUGCGCGACAGCGUGGGGAGCAAACAGG